GAAACUCUCCAUAGUGGUGGUGCCUCAUGGCUAUAGGAAAGUGGGCAGAAAAAGUCUCGACGAUCUUCGUCUCGUCUCACCCUCGUCCCUUGGUCCCUAGUCAUUUGAUAUUUAGGUCUGUCUGAUUCGGGCUGACAGGGCGAUAGGCCGUUGUUGUAGUUGCCUUCAUCAUCUCCUCUUUUAAAUUUCAGAUUUGUUCACGUCGUCUCGUCGGAUUAAUCGGUGGCUAACUCUAAUCUCUAGGUACUUAGGGAGUCCUUUUUUAUUAAAUCUAUUAGUUUUCUCAUCUGAUAAUUGCUCGUUGAAUCCCGCAAAAAAAAAGAUAAUUGCUCGUUGAAUUUAAAUAAUAUAUAUUACACACACAUCUGGAUAUAUUUUAGAUCUUUUAAUUUUUUUUGUAAGAUAAGGCCCCAUAUCUUAGUUUGGCACAGGUCCCGAAUUUUGCCGGCCCGACCCUGGGUGGCGCGUCAUCGGCGUCGGCCAUGUCGGCAACGGGCGGUAGGGAGGAGGCGGACGGCCGGGAGUCGGGCGGUGGUUGUGCGCUGGAAGGCAACUAAACGUCAGUUUGUGAGGGCAGAUGCAGCGCCGACGACGGAAGCCGGAGAGCGGGGAGCAGAGGGCAGCCGACGCGCGCCGCGUGCACGUCGUGAUCAGCUGGCUGCUGACUCAGUUAUUUGCGCCAACGAACGCAUGAUCCUGAGUGAUGGACAGCGCGAAGCCGGUCGGGGUUGCCGGCCGGAUGUGGCAGAUGCCUACAUCCUGCGAGAUGUUCCGUACAGUGACAGCGAGAUCGUGGCCAUGCCGGAUUUCAGACAUCAGGACGUAUCUGUACAAUGUCUGCGCCAAACUUUUCUAGGACUGGUGCUCACAUCGGUGGCACAGUGGCAUGGAGCGUAGGCAAGCAUGCUACGCUUGGCACCAUAGGCAAGCGUGCAACUGCAGUGUUCCUGAUAACGGCAGUUGGUGUGUCUACUAGUCGGUCCGCCUGAUCUGGUGGCUCAUCGACUGAAAGCGCACGUCUCAACAUUUUCUCGAGAAGAAGUUGACGAAAACAUCGGGUGAGAGCGUGGGUUGGUACUAGAUGCUACCUCCACUGCGCACGACGACAUCCUUCAGGAUGCAGGCAAAGAACGAGUUGAUGCUUAACAAGAAGCAUCUUAUUUACAUCUCAGAGGCAUUACACUAAUGGUUCAUUCCUGGAUGUCUCUCACUCCCAUAUUCUCAAGGUGGCACUGUCUUUUCUUUUUCGCGGGGUGCAUUAAUUGGUCUCUUCUUGCAUUGUGCUGGUCUUUGCUACUCUAGACCCUCAAGAGAAAGCUGGUGAGCUCCUCGAUAGAGAAAACAUACACACUUGAGAUUGGUCAUCCUCGUAUAUAUAUACAUGAAUUGUUAAUAUUGUAUCUUGUGGUCGCUAGGACUUUAUUUCGUUAGAUGUUUUCUGUGAGGGAGGUCUUCACUUAUGACCAUCGUCUGUAAUGUUACAAAACACGACCAUGUGUCAGCUUCAGAUUUUUGUUUGCUCCAUCUCACGGACGAGCCGACUCAUAAUGUACACCAUGUAAAUCAGUGAGAUACAAAGGGUUACAUGGGAUUUACAGGUUGGUUAGUUUUGAUUAGAGAUUAAGGGGGUGGAAGGGCCCACCCCAUGAAAAUCAGGAGGGGGAGUGAUUAGUUAGCAUCAAAGGAUCCUAUUCAACCUGUAAUUGCGUGUAAUCUUUAGUACAUUUAGCAUUUUUGCCAUGUAAAUAUAUAAUUAAUGGGAGAUAGUGUGGUGGAUAUACCAUUAUGGCAU
rnacentral:lncRNA from 1 species